CUAGACAUUCUUUGUAACGUGUGAAGUCCAGAAUUGUGAAUAUUUUUGCUGUCAUUAUACUGGGAAUCGGGGCUGAACCGAUUGGAGUAGUACAUGUUCUUCUCGCUUUGGGACAAUUGCUCGUACUGUUCUUUAUUUGCUGCAGGGACCACAUGGAACCAAAUGAAUGGCGUACGCAUGGCUUGGCGAAACAUAUGCUGUGCUUGUUCAAAUCUCCUAUUCCGAAGGUCUCCAUCGUUAAUCCUGACAAUACAAUCAUUCUCACAAAAAAGAUUUUCUUGUUCAGCUUUUCCACCUUUCUCCAGCCGCUUUACUAGUAGCCCCAGGGUUCUUCCACCUCGGGCACUGAAAGGCACUACAUGGAUUCCCAAAGGCCCACCGUCGUUGGAGACUUCUACGAGCUUUACCAUAUCAUCCAGGGAAAAAUUGCUAUUGUUCUCCAAGCCAGUGUCUGCAUGUCCAACAGGCUCAACUCUGCUGUUGUCCUCCUCUGUUCGAUCUUCAUCCUUUCUGUCAUGUGUAGUAGGUACACCAGGGGUGUUCUGCUUGAGAAAGCCCGCUGUUGUGGACCACCUCGUAGGAUUUUUCCGUGAUGGCUCUUCUGAAGAAAAAUUUGUAUCACUUACAGAGGUUGAGAGGCCAAUCAGUGCAGGGUCACUAC
rnacentral:lncRNA from 1 species